rnacentral:rRNA from 1 species
AGCGAACGCUGGCGGCAGGCUUAACACAUGCAAGUCGAACGGGCACUUCGGUGCUAGUGGCAGACGGGUGAGUAACACGUGGGAACGUACCUUUUGGUUCGGAAUAAUUCAGGGAAACUUGGACUAAUACCGGAUACGCCCUUUGGGGGAAAGAUUUAUCGCCGAAAGAUCGGCCCGCGUCUGAUUAGCUAGUUGGCGAG